UUUAGUUUAGUGUUAUUUUUAUUUUUAUUUUUUUUAAUUUGCUUGAAGUAUCUUAUUUGUUUUAGUAUUUUUAUAGAAUUAAUUUUUUUUAUUAUAGCUUAUUGUACUGUGAAGGUAAUUUCUUUUUUAUUUUAUAAGUAGUAUUUUUUUAUGUACCUUUUGUAUCAGGGUUUAUUAAUUAUUAUCAUUUAUUUGUUUUUCCCGAAGUUAAAAGAGCUAUAUUAUUAUGGAGGUUAUUGUUUCAUAACUAUCUUUAAUAUUUUUAUAGAGGAGAUAUUCUAUUCAAUUUUAAAUAUCUGGUUUUCUAAUAAUUAAAUUUAAUUUAGGCUUAAUUUCGUUAUUUAUUUAAUUUUAUUAAUUAUAAUUUUUUAUGCUAAAGUGAGCAGGGAUAAGCUUGUUUACUUUCCUAUAAUUUUUUUUGUUUGUCAAUUUUUUGUAGGCUUGAUAACAGCCAUCAUUUAUUUCGUUACAGUUAAUUUUUGUUAUAUUUUGAUUUAUUUUAAUUUAGGGUUUUUAUUAGAAUUAUUUUUUUAAUUUUUUAUUUUAUGUAAUAAUGAUAGAAUUAGUAUAUUUGUUAAUUAUAAUAUAGGAACUCGGCAAAUAUUAUUUCCGCCUGUUUAACAAAAACAUGUCCUUUUGGUAUUUAUUUAAGGUCUAACCUGCCCAAUGAUUUUUCAAUGGCCGCGGUAAUUUGACCGUGCAAAGGUAGCAUAAUCACUUGUCUCUUAAUUGGAGGCUAGAAUGAAUGGUUGGACGAGAUAUAUACUUUCUUUUUUGUAUUAUAUUGAAUUUAAUUUUUGAGUCAGAAAGCUUAAAUUUUUUUAUAGGACGAGAAGACCCUGUAGAAUUUUAUAUUGAAUUAAUUUUAGUGUUUUUUGUUUAUUAUUGGCUCUUUCUUUAUUUUAGUAUUUUGUUGGGGCGACAGGAAGAUUUAUUUAACUCUUUUUUUUUUAUUCAUUGAUUUAUGUUUUAUUUUUGAUCCUUUAUUAAAGAUUAAAAGAUUAAAUUACCUCAGGGAUAACAGCGUAAUCCUUUUGGAGAGUUCUUAUCGAUAAAAGGGUUUGCGACCUCGAUGUUGAAUUAAGAUUAGUAUCAGGGGUAGAUUUUUGAUUGACUAGGUCUGUUCGACCUUUAAAUUCUUACAUGAUUUGAGUUCAGACCGGUGUGAGCCAGGUUGGUUUCUAUCCUUAAUUUUUUUUAACUUUUUAGUACGAAAGGACCGGAGGUUUAAAAUAGUUUUUAUGUUAAUUGAUUACCAUUAAAA
rnacentral:rRNA from 1 species